AUCGAGACCAAUGGGCGUGUCUGAGUUCUUCGCUGUGGAUAGCAGUGUCUGGAUCGACAGGGUGAAGUACAUCGCAUGUCUUAUAUGCGCCCAUCUGCUGGGCUUGUACUUGGUGAAGAAAGUGAAAGCUAAAUACUGGGACCCUACACCUAUAGGUCCGGUGGUUGUCGAGUAGGAGAAAAUGGAACUCUCGUCACCCAAGCGGCUAGUAGGGUUUGGAGUCUGGCACGUGGCUGGAGCUUUCAUCUUCUUCAUGUUGAUCACUACGUUUAUGUACAGAGGAUCGAAAAAGGAUACGGAGAGGUUAUGUGCCGAAUUAGAAAAAUACGAGUAAACUCGAGCAUCUAUAAUUGAAUAAUAAAAUACAUGAAUGCUACAAAAUAGUAAAACAUGCACU